rnacentral:rRNA from 1 species
UACGAAGGGUGCAAACGUUGCUCGGAAUUAUUGGGCGUAAAGCGCACGUAGGCGGCUUGGCAAGUCGGAUGUGAAAUCCCUCGGCUCAACCAAGGAAGUGCAUCCGAAACUGCUGAGCUUGAGUACUUAAGAGGAUCGCGGAAUUCCCGGUGUAGAGGUGAAAUUCGUAGAUAGUCGGGAGGAACACCAGUGGCGAAGGCGGAGCGAUCUGGGAAGUAGUACUGACGCUGAGGUGCGGAAAGCGUGGG